GGGCCUCUAGCUCAGUUGGUUAGAGCAGGGGACUCAUAAUCCCUUGGUCCUCGGUUCGAGCCCGAGGGGGCCCACCA
rnacentral:tRNA from 1 species